rnacentral:rRNA from 1 species
UACGUAGGGUGCGAGCGUUAAUCGGAAUUACUGGGCGUAAAGCGUGCGCAGGCGGCUUCGCAAGUCAGACGUGAAAUCCCCGGGCUUAACCUGGGAAUGGCGUUUGAAACUACGGAGCUGGAGUGUGGCAGAGGGUGGUAGAAUUCCACGUGUAGCGGUGAAAUGCGUAGAUAUGUGGAGGAAUACCGAUGGCGAAGGCAGCCUCCUGGGCCAACACUGACGCUCAUGCGCGAAAGCGUGGGGAGCAAACAGG